CCUACGGGUGGCAGCAGUGAGGAAUAUUGGUCAAUGGUCGGGAGACUGAACCAGCCAAGCCGCGUGAGGGAUGAAGGUACAGAGUAUCGUAAACCUCUUUUGUCAGGGAACAACGGCGGGGACGUGUCCCCGGUUGAGUGUACCUGAAGAAUAAGCCACGGCUAACUACGUGCCAGCAGCCGCGGUAAUACGUAGGUGGCAAGCGUUAUCCGGAUUUACUGGGUGUAAAGGGCGUGUAGGCGGGGACGCAAGUCAGAUGUGAAAUCCACGGGCUCAACCUGUGGCCUGCAUUUGAAACUGUGUUGCGUGAGUACGGGGGAGGCAGACGGAAUUCGUAGUGUAGCGGUGAAAUGCGUAGAUAUUAGGAGGAACACCAGUGGCGAAGGCAGUCUGCUGUACAGCAACUGACGCUGAGGCGCGAAAGCGUGGGGAGCGAACAGGAUUAGAUACCCCAGUAGUC
rnacentral:rRNA from 1 species